UACGAACCGGACAAACGUUAUUCGGAAUUACUGGGCUUAAAGGGUUUGUAGGCGGCCAUGUAAGUCAGGUGUGAAAUCCCUCGGCUCAACCGAGGAACGGCGCUUGAUACUGCAUGGCUUGAGGGAGACAGGGGUAAGCGGAACUGAUGGUGGAGCGGUGAAAUGCGUUGAUAUCAUCAGGAACACCGGUGGCGAAAGCGGCUUACUGGGUCUCUUCUGACGCUGAGGAACGAAAGCUAGGGUAGCGAAC
rnacentral:rRNA from 1 species